GGCUGGAUAGCUCAGUUGGUAGAGCACCGGACCGACAAUCCAGAUGUCACAGGUUCAAACCCCGCUCCAGUCA